rnacentral:rRNA from 1 species
UUUGCUCACACUCUAGCCUGUUCAAUGGCGAAUCCUAACGACGUCAGCAAGCUGUCGUCACCAGGAUACCGUUGAGAAGCCAGGUGGAACAGCCCUAAAGGUAUUCGUUGCAAUCCUCAAUCCCGACCACCACAUUCCGCUAAAGGUUAUAACACUCCCGAAGGAGCCACAUCCCUCCAGCCUUUUUAUGACGGUCGAAAUUGAUGUUAACCAGCGGACACGAAAGUGCUCCAUUUCGCAAAGAGUUCACGCUUCGUGACGGUUUUGAGGCUCGCCACGCCAUGUGAUCUCUCGACGAGAGGGUUGAUUUCGCGCCAGCACGACUGA